rnacentral:rRNA from 1 species
GACGAACGCCGGCGGCGUGCUUAACACAUGCAAGUCGAACGGAAAGGUCCUGCUUUUGUGGGGUGCUCGAGUGGCGAACGGGUGAGUAACACGUGAGUAACCUGCCCUUGACUUUGGGAUAACUUCAGGAAACUGGGGCUAAUACCGGAUAGGAGCUCCUGCUGCAUGGUGGGGGUUGGAAAGUUUCGGCGGUUGGGGAUGGACUCGCGGCUUAUCAGCUUGUUGGUGGGGUAGUGGCUUACCAAGGCUUUGACGGGUAGCCGGCCUGAGAGGGUGACCGGCCACAUUGGGACUGAGAUACGGCCCAGACUCCUACGGGAGGCAGCAGUGGGGAAUAUUGCACAAUGGGCGGAAGCCUGAUGCAGCAACGCCGCGUGCGGGAUGACGGCCUUCGGGUUGUAAACCGCUUUCGCCUGUGACGAAGCGUGAGUGACGGUAAUGGGUAAAGAAGCACCGGCUAACUACGUG